AAUCUGCCCUCCGAUGGGGAAUAACCCCGCGAAAGCGGGGCUAAUACCGCAUAACAUUCCUUGGACUUCGGUUCGAGGACUCAAAACCGCAAGGUGUCGGAGAGGAGCCCGUGCCGAUUAGCUAGUUGUGGGGUAACGGCCCACCAGCAAUGAUCGGUAGCUGGUCUGAGAGGAUGGCAGCACACUGGACUGAGACCCCCGCGGUCCAGACUCAACGGGAGGCAGCAGUGGGGAAUCUUGCACAAUGGGCGAAAGCCUGAUGCAGCGACGCCGCGUGAGGGAUGAAGGCCUUCGGGUUGUAAACCUCUUUCAGCAGGGAAGAAGCGCAAGUGACGGUACCUGCAGAAGAAGCACCGGCUAACUACGUGCCAGCCGCCGCGG
rnacentral:rRNA from 1 species